GUCGAACGGAUUAUUCUUUAUAGCUUGUUGAGAGUUUGAUCCUGGCUCAGAACAAACGCUGGCGGCAAGCUUAACACAUGCAAGUCGAACGGACCGUACGCGCAGCUUGCUGCGUGUAUAGUUAGUGGCAGACGGGUGAGUAAUGCAUAGGAAUCUGCCUAGUAGUAUAGGAUAGCCACUAGAAAUGGUGGGUAAUACUGUAUAAUCCCUGCGGGGGAAAGAUUUAUCGCUACUAGAUGAGCCUAUGUCAGAUUAGCUAGUUGGUGGGGUAAUGGCCCACCAAGGCUGUGAUCUGUAGCUGGUCUGAGAGGAUGAUCAGCCACACUGGAACUGAGACACGGUCCAGACUCCUACGGGAGGCAGCAGUGGGGAAUAUUGGACAAUGGGCGCAAGCCUGAUCCAGCUAUGCCGCGUGAGUGAGGAAGGCCUUAGGGUUGUAAAACUCUUUCAGUAGGGAAGAUAAUGACGGUACCUAUA
rnacentral:rRNA from 1 species